UACGUAGGGGGGCAAGCGUUUGUCCGGGAAUUAUUGGGCGUAAAGAGCUCGUAGGCGGCUUGUCGCGUCGACUGUGAAAACCUGGGGGCUUAACUCCGAGCUUGCAUUCGAUACGGGCAGGCUAGAGUUCGGUAGGGGAGACUGGAAUUCCUGGUGUAGCGGUGAAAUGCGCAGAUAUCAGGAGGAACACCGGUGGCGAAGGCGGGUCUCUGGGCCGGUACCGACGCUGAGGAGCGAAAGCGUGGGGAGCGAACAGG
rnacentral:rRNA from 1 species